rnacentral:rRNA from 1 species
AGCAGCCGCGGUAAUUCCAGCUCCAAUAGCGUAUAUUAAAGUUGUUGCAGUUAAAAAGCUCGUAGUUGAACCUUAGGCCCGUGCGGGUGGUCCGUCCUCAGGGCGAGCACUGCCUCGUCGCGGGUCUCACCUUCUGGCGAGCGCGGAUGCCAUUCGUUUGGUGCCCGCGGGAACCAGGACCUUUACCUUGAAAAAUUAGAGUGCUCAAAGCGGGCUCAGACGCUUGAAUACAUUAGCAUGGAAUAAUGAAAUAGGACGAUGGUUCUAUUUUGUUGGUUUCCGGGACCGUCGUAAUGAUUAAUAGGGAUAGUUGGGGGCAUUCGUAUUCAAUUGUCAGAGGUGAAAUUCUUGGAUUUAUUGAAGACGGACUACUGCGAAAGCAUUUGCCAAGGAUGUUUU